AAUGCUCAAAGCCCUGAUAAGUCUGACUAAUGCAUUAAAGCAAAAUAAAAAUGCUUGCAAGACACUUGGCCUUCUUAGAAGGGUUCUGUGAAAAUUAUGAAAUUUCACAGAAAAUUGAAAAUUGAAAAUUCAUCUCCAGGUGUCUUUGAGCAAGCGCAAAAACACCUCUGAAAGCAGAGAGACUGUUUGCUGUUCUCUUAUCAUUUCUGCUCGAGGGGAGCAAGUCCUAUGCCUCUAGGACAGGAAAUACCCCAGACCCAGCCUGCGGUUUGGAAGCGUCUCGCUGCUGCUGCUCUGCCAGUUCUAGAACUCAACUCCUCAAGCACAAGCCCUUGGGAAGCAUGGAAUAGAAACAGUGAUGGCAUGAAACUGCGCUGCUCGGCAGAUGGAGUGAAUGCAAGAAGAAGUUAUUUCAGUCACAAGAAUUUUCAAUGAUUGUUGUCCUUUUUUUUGUGAAUGACAAAAACUACUUGUAUGCAUUAAACUAUUUCUCUGUGUCUUGGGCUGGAGAAUGCAGGUGACAGAGUGUUAAAGGGGAUAGCUGUGAGGGUCCCUGUUAAAUGGGGGGGAAAGGGGGUGAGAUGACCUCUGUGGGUCCCCUUUCAAUUGUAACAAUUCCAUAGUUCUGUGACAAGUCAGGCAAUGUUUAAGAAAACGGGGAUGCAUGCUUACUGUUUAGCAUAACAGCAAUAAUGAUGAUGUAAGUUGAAUGAAUUUAUUUUUAACAUAUGGGGAAUACUUUUAGUAGUAAGAAUGUUAUAUUCUACUGUUGAACUCUAGCUGCUGUGAUGUUUGCUGUGUAAAAUCCAGGUUACAAAAGGAAAUAAAUACUGCAUUUCUGUUGAGAAAAUUUCUUGUGUUUAAUGGACUUGUCCUAAAAUGCAGACUUAUUAUGUUUUCUCCUGUUUCCAUGAUCAUUAAAAGUUCUAAUAUUAUGCUUAUGCCAUAUUAAACUUUAUACAACUGUG